GAUGAAGAACGUAGCGAAAUGCGAUAAGUAAUGUGAAUUGCAGAAUUCAGUGAAUCAUCGAAUCUUUGAACGCACCUUGCACCCUUGGCAUUCCGAAGGGUAUGCUCGUUUGAGUGUCAUUGUACUCUCACACUCUCCGAUCCUAUGGAUUCGGGGAGCGGUGGACUUGGGUGUUGCUGCCUUUCCCUGUGGCUCACCUCAAAUGCGUCAGUGCACCUCUUGGUUGGACAUAGUACGGCGUGAUAAGUGUCUUCGCCGGCACCUCGCAAGAGGGUGGCCGAUCGGGAGCUCUGCGCUUUCAAACCGUCUUCGGACAAUUUCUGACAUCUUGACCUCAAAUCGAGUAGGACUACCCGCUGAACUUAAGCAUAUCAAUAAGCGGAGGA
rnacentral:misc_RNA from 1 species